UUGAAGCUUUGCAAAUGUUCUACUGCCCAGCUGCAUCACAAUCCUUUACAGAACUGAAGUUCCACUUAAAAUCAGAAUUCAGACUUUGGUUCUGAUAGGAGGGUUCAUGCUUAUGAUUCUCGCAGAAGGGACUCUUGGACUGUGUGACUUAUGAUCUUUGCUUCCUACUUUAAGUUUUCGUGUAAGGUCCUUCCUUGGAUUUCUGUGAGCCAAGACCACUGAGUGCAUGUUUGAUGUGUUCUCCAACACUUCCAGGACCACGUGGCUGCACUGUCUUGACUUUCCAUGUAAGGAGAGUCAAGCGUGGGGAGGCUUCUCCAGGCCACCCCCCCGCCUUCCCCACCCCCAUGAGGAGGCUGGAGAGUUGGAUGUUCCCCAUCAUCUGUGUUAUGCAAACCUCUGCCAGGUAGGGCUUCUGCGCAAUCUUCACCGGGAUAUCUGAUUUGGGGAGAUAGGGACCGUGAACAUGGUAGUCGAUCAACAACAUUUGGGUUGACUACACAGUUAGAGUUGAACCGGGAGGUGAGGUAAUUGAAUCUGAAAAGAAGUGGUUUUGUGUUGAGGCGGAGAGCCUGUUUUUAACUGUAGUGUUCAGUUAAACCCUGAUAUCAGAAGGAAGUAAUACAUGACCUAGUUGCUAGGAAGACAAAAUCGUGACCCACCAAAGGCAACAGUGGGCUUCUGACAAACGCUGUUUCUUCAAACAACUGUACUUUAGUAUUAUGAGUUAUUUAAUUUCUCCUUCAACAUGAAAAACAAUUCAGAUCUGAUUGCAUCUUUUAAAAAUGUCAAGUGUGAUCGUUAACCAUUUUUGUAUCAUCUCUGCUGGUGGGAGCCAAAGGAGAUGAAUAAACACAUCCCAAGUCAGUGUGUAGCUCUCCAGGGGCCCUUCAGAAAGACCUCGGCCACUCUUCUGGGGAGUGCCUGUGAAAUGAAUGGCAGCUACAGUAAGAGGGCUGUCAAGGCCAGCCUGGGCUACAUGAGACCCCCUGUCUCAAUCAGAAAAGAAAUAGAGGGAGAAAAUAAUGGUUAUAUGAAGUUUCUGCUUAGCCAGAAGGGCCAGGUGGCUGAGGGCCAGACCUUGUGCUUACUUAAUUCAUCCUUAGUAGGAGUCUCUGUGUAUUUGGGGUGGGGAGGAUUCCCAGUUGGUCACUGACUGUCCCUGCAUAGUUUCAGGUCACUGCAAAUCUGUUUUCUGCAUCUGAAAAUGGAGAUUUAUGGUAAGCCUUUAUAAGCGUUUUCUUGGGAAUAUGCAGAUGAAGGUAUUGAAACAGAAACCAAAAUAUACAAAAAUUCUUCUCAUCACACAAUCCUCCCCACAUGACAUUUUGUCGAAAGGGCCAAUGUACAACAUCGAUUCUGUGUCUCCAGGUGCCACAUAAAGCAGUCACUGGCCACCACAGCAUGUGGGCUGACGGUUUUAUUUGUGAUGUAAGCGCAUCUGCCAGUGAUUCUCCACAGCGGCUUCUGCAUUGCGAUGGCAGAACUGAGUUGUGACUGCUACCUCUGCCCCAGCCUGCACAGCCUAAACUGUGUAUCCUGUCGCCCUUGACAGAAAACACUUACUGACCACUAAGGGAAAAUAUAAACACCGCCAGUGUUCUAGAAAUUUAUGUCUAAAUAUCCUCCGCUUGAGCUGGCCGGAUAACACACAAGCAUCAGGCAGAGACACGUGCAGAGGCAAGUCAACAGUUUUCCAGGAAGCCAUCUCCCUCUUCACAGUGGGUGGUGGGGUGGUGAGGAGAGGUCCAGGAGAAAUCCAUGUCUUUCACCAGACCCAAGGCUAUGGGAAAAUUCACCUCCAUGGCAUUCCUCAUCACUUUCUCUGCCUGAUGGCCUGCCUGGGCAAGUUAACAAACAAACAAACAAACAAACAAACAAACAAACAAACACAUCACAGAAGGAAUUUCUCUGUUAAGUGCCAUGUUGUGGGUGAUGAAGGUUCAGAGCUGUGUUUAGCCCUAAAUUAUCCUAACAGCGGUUUCUCCAGGGAGCCAUUUAAAGUGUCAGCUCUUUUCACCUUCCUAACCUGAGAUCAUUUCGAGUCUUGAGGACUUCGUUUAAACAACAUUUAUUACGACUUGUAACAUGAGGGUACAGGUGAGAAUGAUAAUCCACUCAUUCUCAAACUUGAGGCAUGGGAACUGACACAUAGGGACGGAAAGGGAAGUCAAUGAAAAGUUGAAGCUGUCCUGUGUGAACAGGACAGUUCCAAUAACUAUCUCCUCUUCCUCUUUGCCUAAAUUUGGCCAUGCAGCCAUAGCAUUGGCUAAAUGAACUCAUAAAACGUUCCAAAGUUGAGAAAAAACUGUAUGAAGAUGAAAUUUAAAUGAAUUUUCAGUAUAGAUUGUGUAUAAGACCCAUAAAGAUUUAUUGCCCUUAUUUCAAACAUCAUUGAAAUUAGACUUAAUUAUCUGUGCAGUUUGCUGGAAAUAGCAUUUUUGAUGAAGUAUAUGCCAUUAAUUUUAAAAUAGAAAUGUACCAAGCUGGUUUUCUUAAAAAAAAAUCCUUAAAAAAUAUAAUUUCUAAGUGUUGUCCUUGAAAAAGCCCCUCUUUUCCCUUCCUCAUCCCACAGUCUUGCCUCCCCUAACUCUUAAUUUGGCGGGUAACCUUUUGAGUUCAUUUGCUUGUUUUCUGUUGGACCGCAGCAAUUUGAGUGGCCACACGGGUUCAAGAGGAUGCCGAGAAUGCUCCCACAAGAGGGGGAAACAGCUUGCCUCCUCAGUGAGUUUAGACUUUGAAAGAACAUAGGUUAAUGGCUUUUUAUUAGUGGACUUUUCUCUAGGGAGAAGGAAUCCUGUAUUUUCUCAGAAUAUGCCUGUGUCUAUACCACACGGAGGAAAGCCGAAAUUUAUCAAGUUAAUUAACUUGGCUGUUCCUACCGAGUAAUCAGAUUCUGCCGGUCCCUUUUUAUGAGGGCUCCUCUCUCAAGGAGACCGUGUGAAGGCCACAUGGCCAGAGCUCCGGUCAGCACGAUUUCUUUCCUCACAGGAAUGUUCUUCGCAGGUGUGAAAUGCAUCUGCCGUCCAGUCCCCUCAACUUCCUGAUCUGUAUUUCUUCUAGAAUCUUCUCCAAGGCUCUCGAAGAACACCUACCUUGAGGUUUCGGCCUGUGAUCUGCCUACUGUCCUGCGCCUUUGCUGAGUGUUUCUGGGCCUGGCUAACCAUCUGUCUUUGCUGUCCACCUAACCAACUUCAUCCCUUGUCAGGAUGUCCUGGUCUCUCCCUGAUUUCAGAAGCCAGACCAGUCUUUACUCUCUCUCAUUAUAUAUAUCUCAAUAUAUAUCUCUGAUAAUAUUUCUCUUUGUAGUCAAGGGUUACCAGACACCAUUGAGAAUCCCUUGGUGGGGCUGGAGAGAUAGCUCAGUGGUUAGGAGGGUAUACUGCUUCUGUAGAGGACACAGUUCGGUUUCUAGCACCCAUGUCAUGUGACUCACAGCUACCUGUAACUCUAGCUCCAGGGGAUUCAAGCCAGGGGCUUGGGAGGACGGCAGGGGAGGAGGAGCAGCUCAGGGUCAGAGGGAGCAGGGAAUGCUGCACGAUUGAGAAGCGAAGGCCUGCUCCUUGGAUUCAGACGUGUCUUGUCACACUGGACCAGUUUGAGACCAAUGUGUUUAAGGGAUUGGACAUGCCCUUGAGAGCUCAUCCUACAGGAAGAGCCAGAGAGGCAAGCUUGGCCAGAGUCAGACAGGAAUAAGAUACUGAUGAGCUUAUUUCUCGAGUUUGUCUCCCAGUUUAGGAUUCUGAAGGUUCGUGCUGUGUGUGUGUGUGUGGGUGUGUGUGUGUAAGAGAAUGGAGAUGGAGGACAGAGGAAGAGGAAGAGAGAAAGAGGGAGGGGUAAGGAGGAAAGGAAGGGGGAGGGACAGGGACUAUGUUCCCAUGAACUUGAGUGAAGGAUGGAAACUGAACAGAGUCAGUCAGUAGAUCACUCUCGAUUGCCCUGAACUGAGUGUGGCUGUCUUUGCUGUGUGACUACUGUUCUUCCCACCAAGGUCUGACUUUCUCAUCUUACCCUCUUAGCACCUCGAAUUUGGGCUGGUCAAAUGCUGAUAUGCCUUGAGCCACAGAAUGUGGAGGAAGUGUCGGUUUGUGACUUCGGUUUCUGUCCCUUGGAGUGCUGACCUGGGAAAACUAUGGAAGACCCAGGCUAAUAUGGGGCUCUGUACAAGACAACCGGGGUGCCCAGUGGUAACCAGCAUGAGCUACCAGACACAUCGGCGUGUAGGUACCCAUGGAAGCAAGAAGAGAGUGUAAACUCCCCUGGAGCUGGAGCCACCAGUAAUUUUGACUCUCCUGAUGUGGGUGCUGGAAACGGAAUUCUGAUCCUCUGCAAGAGCUUUUAUCCCACGAGCUGUCCGUCUCUAGGGGACAUUUUCUUGCCAUUCAGAUAUCAGGACCCACCCAGCCCUUUUGGCUAGAAUGGGGGAGACAGGGUGCUGAAUCUAGGUGCUAAAGAGAGGACCAGUGGACACUGGUAGACAGGUAAGUUCGGGAAAGAAUUCUUUAUGGAACCAAAGAGUGCUCUUUUGGUACUUGGGGUGAACAAGGCAGGGAAGGAUGGCAGCAGUCAGAAGGCAGAUAAUAGGGUAAAUGCGCACAGAGAGAAAGGUGGCCUUUGCCCAGGAGCCCUCAGAGAGAGCUGGUUCCUCUAGGUCUAUUGGUCCCUCUAAACCAGUUCCUAAGAGGGGCAAGUGUGCAUUUGGCAACAUGUGUGGGUAGCUUGGGGUGUGACAGGAGGGGCCGCUGCUGACAUUUAUGAUAGAGGCCAGGGAGGCUGCUGGGUACCCUGGUGUGCACGAGACAAUCUGAUGAUACAUACCACCUGGUCCCAGAGCUCAAGGUCCUGAUGAUGCUUACCACCUGGUCCCAAAGCUCAGGGUCCUGGUGAUGCAGUCCCACCUGGUCCCAGAGCUCAGGAUCCUGGUGAUGCUUACCACCUGGUCCCAAAGCUCAGGGUCCUGGUGAUGCAGUCCCACCUGGUCCCAGAGCUCAGAGUCCUGGUGAUGCUUACCACCUGGUCCCAAAGCUCAGGGUCCUGAUGAUGCAGUCCCACCUGGUCCCAGAGCUCAGGGUCCUGGUGAUGCAGUCCCACCUAGUCCCAGAGCUCAGGGUCCUGGUGAUGCAGUCCCACCUGGUCCCAGAGCUCAGGGUCCUGGUGAUGCUUACCACCUGGUCCCAAAGCUCAGGGUCCUGGUGAUGCUUACCACCUGGUCCCAAAGCUCAGGGUCCUGGUGAUGCUUACCACCUGGUCCCAAAGCUCAGGGUCCUGAUGAUGCUUACCACCUGGUCCCAAAGCUCAGGGUCCUGGUGAUGCAGUCCCACCUGGUCCCAGAGCUCAGGGUCCUGAUGAUGCAGUUCCACCUGGUCCCAGAGCUCAGCGUCCCAGUCGUUCCUGAGGUGUGGCUCUGAAUCUUUAGUGUCAGCAUCACCGGGGACCUGUGAGUUUGUGAGUCCGUGGGCACUGAGCCCAUCUAUCAGACUUUCUAGUUAGAUGUCGCAGGUCUGGGCCAGGCCAGGCAUCCACUGCAGGUCAUUCCAGGGCCAGCCACCACCGAGAGCACCUGCUGAGGUGGGAAGCUGAGGUCCCGGAGUGGUCUGGACAGUGAGAGAGUGGCCGGAUUCAGCUUCACACGAGGACAUGAUGGAUUGCGGACUUGUCGCUUUAAGUCUGGAGCUCACAGCCUAGGGAGUCAGGCCAACCUCUCUCCUAGAUCUGACAGGCCCCAGCCUGGAAGGGUAACUGACAGUCAGGUCUCUGGGGAUAUGAAUGGGGGCAGAUAAAGGAGAUACAGCCACAAUUUCCCCUAAAGCCCUGGUUCCCUAGCAGACAGCGAGAAUGACAGAAGAUAACAAACUCUCCCCCUGUCCCUGAAGACCCUGACUGAGCUGUGUCAAUCUCCUGAUAGCCUGUAGCCACACCGUGAGCUAUUUUUGUAUCCUCCUGGGAAAAGCAGGGGAGGGUGUUAUGAAUAUCAGACUUCUUUGUUCUGAGA